rnacentral:rRNA from 1 species
CCUACGGGUGGCAGCAGUGAGGGAUAUUGGUCAAUGGGGGAAACCCUGAACCAGCAACGCCGCGUGAGGGAAGACGGCUUUCGGAUUGUAAACCUCUGUUCUCUGUGAAGUUAAUGACGGUAGCAGAGGAGGAAGCUACGGCUAACUACGUGACAGCACCCCCGGUAAUACGGAGGGAGCCAGCGUUAUCCGGAUUUACUGGGGGUAAAGGGGGCGCAGACGGCGGUGCAAGCCAGGAGUGAAAGCCCGGGGCUCAACCCCGGGACUGCUCUUGGAACUGGUUGGCUAGAGUGCAGGUGGGGCAGGCGGAAUUCCUGGUGUAGCGGUGAAAUGCUUAGAUAUCA